AACAGGAUUAGAUACCCUGGUAGUCCACGCCGUAAACGAUGGAUACUAGCUGUUCGGUAGCAAUACUGAGUGGCUAAGCGAAAGUGAUAAGUAUCCCACCUGGGGAGUACGAACGCAAGUUUGAAACUCAAAGGAAUUGACGGGGGCCCGCACAAGCGGUGGAGCAUGUGGUUUAAUUCGAUGAUACGCGAGGAACCUUACCAGGGCUUAAAUGUAGUGGGACAGGCUUGGAAACAGGCCCUUCUUCGGACUCAUUACAAGGUGCUGCAUGGUUGUCGUCAGCUCGUGCCGUGAGGUGUCAGGUUAAGUCCUAUAACGAGCGCAACCCCUGUUGUUAGUUGCCAGCGAGUAAUGUCGGGAACUCUAACAAGACUGCCGGUGCAAACCGUGAGGAAGGUGGGGAUGACGUCAAAUCAUCACGGCCCUUACGUCCUGGGCUACACACGUGCUACAAUGGCCGGUACAGAGAGCAGCCACUGGGCGACCAGGAGCGAAUCUAUAAAGCCGGUCACAGUUCGGAUUGGAGUCUGCAACCCGACUCCAUGAAGCUGGAAUCGCUAGUAAUCGGAUAUCAGCCAUGAUCCGGUGAAUACGUUCCCGGGCCUUGUACACACCGCCCGUCAAGCCAUGGAAGCUGGGGGUACCUGAAGUCGGUGACCGCAAGGAGCUGCCUAGGGUAAAACUGGUAACUGGGGCUAAGUCGUAACAAGGUAACC
rnacentral:rRNA from 1 species